rnacentral:rRNA from 1 species
UACGGAGGAUGCGAGCGUUAUCCGGAUUUAUUGGGUUUAAAGGGUGCGUAGGUGGGAAAGUAAGUCAGAGGUGAAAGCCAGCAGCUCAACUGUUGAAUUGCCUUUGAUACUGCUAUCCUUGAGUAUUGUUGGAGUUGGCGGAAUGUGACAUGUAGCGGUGAAAUGCUUAGAUAUGUCCCAGAACACCGAUCGCGAAGGCAGCUAACUAAGCAAUUACUGACACUGAUGCACGAAAGCGUGGGGAGCAAACAGG